GACGAAGGGUACGGGCGUUAUUCGUUUUGAUUGGGUGUAAAGGGUACGUAGGCGGCUAAUGCAGUUUUGAUAAAAAGAGCAGAGUGUUCCUAUGCGGUAUAUCAAUUCUAAAUUUGGCUUGAGUUGGAGCGAAGUUGAGUUAAUUCUCUGUGAAAGGGUAAUAUCUGUAGAUCCAGGGAGGAAGGCCGAUUGGCGAAGGCACUUUUCUAACUUCAACUGACGCUAAGGUACGAAAGCGCAGGUAGCAAACAGG
rnacentral:rRNA from 1 species